rnacentral:rRNA from 1 species
GAUGAACGCUGGCGGCGUGCUUAACACAUGCAAGUCGAACGGAAAGGCUCCUGCUUGCAGGGGUACUCGAGUGGCGAACGGGGGAGUAACACGUGGGUGAUCUGCCCUUCACUUCGGGAUAAGCCUGGGAAACUGGGUCUAAUACCGGAUAGGACGAUGGUUUGGAUGUCAUUGUGGAAAGUUUUUCGGUGUGGGAUGAGCUUGCGGCCUAUCAGCUUGUUGGUGGGGUAAUGGCCUACCAAGGCGUAGACGGGUAGCCGGCCUGAGAGGGUGUACGGCCACAUUGGGACUGAGAUACGGCCCAGACUCCUACGGGAGGCAGCAGUGGGGAAUAUUGCGCAAUGGGCGCGAGCCUGAUGCAGCGACGCCGCGUGGGGGAUGACGGCCUUCGGGUUAUAAACUCCUUUCGCUAGGGACGAAGCGCAAGUGACGGUACCUGGAGAAAAAGCACCGGCUAACUACGUG